CCUACGGGAGGCAGCAGUGAGGAAUAUUGGUCAAUGGGCGCGAGCCUGAACCAGCCAAGUAGCGUGAAGGAUGACUGCCCUACGGGUUGUAAACUUCUUUUAUAAAGGAAUAAAGUGAGGCACGUGUGCCGUUUUGUAUGUACUUUAUGAAUAAGGAUCGGCUAACUCCGUGCCAGCAGCCGCGGUAAUACGGAGGAGCCGAGCGUUGUCCGGAAGGAUAGGGCUUAAAGAGUUCGUAGGCGGUAUGUCAAGUCUGAUGUUAAAGAAAGGGGCGCAACUCCGGUUCGGCAUUGGAUACUGGCGAAAUAGAGUGUGGUAGAGGUAAAGGGAAUUCCUGGUGUAGCGGUGAAAUGCGUAGAUAUCAGGAGGAACAUCGGUGGCGAACGCGCUUUACUGGACCAUUAUUGACGCUGAGGAACGAAAGCCAGGGGAGCAAAUGGGAGUAGAUACCCCGGUAGUC
rnacentral:rRNA from 1 species